UACGUAGGGUGCGAGCGUUAAUCGGAAUUACUGGGCGUAAAGCGUGCGCAGGCGGUUCGCCAAGUCAGGUGUGAAAUCCCCGGGCUUAACCUGGGAAUUGCGCUUGAAACUAGCGGGCUUGAGUGUGGCAGAGGGGGGUGGGAAUUCCACGUGUAGCAGUGAAAUGCGUAGAGAUGUGGAGGAACACCGAUGGCGAAGGCGGCCACCUGGACGGUCACUGACGCUGAGACGCGAAAGCGUGGGUAGCAAACAGG
rnacentral:rRNA from 1 species